UACGAAGGGGGCUAGCGUUGUUCGGAAUUACUGGGCGUAAAGCGUGCGCAGGCGGCUUCUCAAGUCAGGGGUGAAAGCCCAGAGCUCAACUCUGGAAUUGCCUUUGAGACUGAGUGGCUUGAGUACGAGAGAGGUGAGUGGAAUUCCCAGUGUAGAGGUGAAAUUCGUAGAUAUUGGGAAGAACACCGGUGGCGAAGGCGGCGAGCUGGUCCAUUACUGACGCUGAGGCGCGACAGCGUGGGGAGCAAACAGG
rnacentral:rRNA from 1 species